CAUUGAGUUCUUGCACCUUACCAUUUAUUACACUCCCUUUUCAUCACAACACCCCCUUCUUCUGUCUGUAUUUUGCGUGAAGACUAGGUAGAUGCAUUUGAUGCCUUCCUUCAAUUGUUGCAGGCUGUGGUAGGAAGUAUUUAAGGACCUGAAGCCUCUUUUUUCUUUUACUACAUUCAAUUUACUGUCACAACUGGUUAAGAAUAUGCAGACCCCUAAAGCAAGAAGCAGUCACUCGAAGAAGAGUUCUCCUCGAUCUAUAUCCUCGGAGGCAUCUCCCAAAAGCUCCUCUCCUCAAACUGCAUCAUCAGAAGCUCCCCAAAAGGUUUCUCCGAGUGUAGUGCGUCAGCUCAAGACAGGGCCGCAUUUCUUAGACCCUACUGCUUCUUCAGCAAACCAAGCAAACCAUUGCUUGAAACGGCCAAGAAGAUGGUGGAGACGCUGAGGUCGGAUGGACUAAAUGUUAGAAAAAGAAAGGUAUAAGCUUGUAGGAUAAGCUUUCUAUUAGCUUGGAGGCUAAGAAAUACAUUAGCUUGGAGGCUAAGAAAUACAUGAGCUUGGUGCCCAAGAAUAUAUUAGCUUGGUGCCCAAGAAUACUUGUAGCACAAGCUUUGUAAUGCCCUAUAUAAGGGUGUCAUAUUGUUGAAGAAAAUAAUCAAGCCUUUUACCAAAAUCCUUCUUCUUCUUAGCCAUUUAACAUGGCAUCAGAGCCAGCAACGAUUCUUGGAGCUCAGAAUCAAUCUCAUCAUCGCUCUUAAACCUCUCCCAACCUCUUGGCCAAGAACCUGUAAAAGGCAGAAAUGUCAGAAACUGAAAAGGUGAUCACCGGCGACCCGAACUCAUCCGAAGCGGAUGAGUUUGCACGUCUCUUUUCAAAUUUCAUGCGAAAAAGCCUCAUGCAAAACCAACCACCAGAAAAUCCCGACAAACCAGAAAAACCAAUAUA